UUGUGGGGGGGUCAAUUUUUUCUCAUUUCAGAUUUCAGAAAUUAAAAAGAAUUAUUCUUCAAAUAUUUUUUUUUUUUUCAAAUUUCAAAUAUUGAAAAAUUUCAUGAAGUAAUCUUUAAUUGCACAUUAUGGCGCAUUAGAUUUGUAAAAUCUUUGACAACAUUUAUUUAUUUGUUAAGCCGAAUCUAACCGUGUAUUUAGAUUUUUAAUUUUGGGUCCAGUUUUUAAAUUGGUCUACAUUAAGGUCCAAAGGGUCCAAAAUUAAACUUUGUUUGAUUUUAACAAAAAUUGAAUAUAUGGGGUUCUUUGAUAUGCUGAAUCUAAACAUGUAUUUAGAUUUUUGAUUUUUGGCCCAGUUUUCAAGUUGGCCCAAAUUGGGGUCCAAAAUUAAACUUUGUUUGAUUUCAACAAAAAUUGAAUAUCUGGGGUUCUUUGAUAUGCUGAAUCUAACCAUGUAUUUAGAUUUUUUAUUUGUGGACCCCACUAUCAAAUUGGUUCAUAUUGAGGUCAAAAGGGUCUAAAAUUAAACUUUGUUUGAUUUCAUCAUAAAUUGAAUUAUUGGGGUUCUUUGAUAUGCCAAAUCUAACCGUGUAUUUAGAUUUUUAAUUUUGGGUCCCGUUUUUUAAAUUGGUCUACAUUAAGGUCCAAAGGCUCCAAAAUUAAACUUAGUUUGAUUUUAACAAAAAUUGAAUUCUUGGGGUACUUUGAUAUGCUGAAUCUAAACAUGUGUUUAGAUUUUUGAUUAUGGGACCAGUUUUCAAGUUUGUCCAAGUUGGGGUCCAAAAUUAAGCUUUGUUUGAUUUCAACAAAAAUUGAAUAUAUGGGGUUCUUUGAUAUGCUGAAUCUAACCAUGUAUUAUGAUUUUGGACAUUGGACCAUAAUAGGUAAAUUAAAAAAUUUGAAGUUCUUAGACCACAUUCUUUCUGUGUCAGAAACCUAUGCUGUGUCAAAUAUUUAAUCACAAUCCAAAUUCAGAGCUGUAUCAAGCUUGAACGUUGUGUCCAUACUUGCCCCAACUGUUCAGGGUUCGACCUCUGUGGUCGUAUCAAGCUGCGCCCAGCGAAGCAUUUUAUUGUUCCUUGUCAAAAGAAAUACCGCACUGUUUUCUUAAUCUCCAGCUAAAAUUGUUGAGUUAUAGAUUUGAUAGCAUAAAAGUUUGACAGCUGUCUCUAUUUAGCUUGAAUACAUAAAAAUCUAUUACAAUAUAUAAUGUUAUGUACAGGAUAUGUUUUAGACUACUUAGCUCUUUGUUUUUUGGGGACUGUUUUGUUUGAUUUUUCCCUUUUUUUUUUAUAAAAUGUAUGUUGAUGUAAUCCAGGCACCAUUUACACAUAUUACGUACUGUUGAAUAUUGUUAUAAUCAUUGACGAGUAUGCAGUUCAUAUAUUUGAUACAUCUUAUUUAUUUAUGAUCUCUAAUUGAUUUAAGUAUGACCAUACUUGAAGCCCUUCACAGUGUCUGUUUAUACGACAACAUGUUUUGUUGGUUGUAAAAUAUGGUGCUGUUUGUUGCCUUCCUUGUCCUUCCAUCUGUGUGUAGACAUUAUAGUUUCUUUGCAGUAAAUGAUGUUCUUGUUGCCAGAUUAUUCUAAAGUUUUAACACCAUGAUCCCUAAUACAAACAGAACAUACAAAUUGCAGAGGAUUGUUGACAAAGUUGUAAAUUAGGGGGCCAAAAUAGUGUUUUUUUAUGACUUUGGUCAAGAACAUUUAUCUUCAACUAAUAUUAAGGUUUUUUAUGCCCCUGCCGUAGCGGAGGGGGCAUUAAGUUUUACCCUUGUCCGUCUGUAUGUACGUACAUACGUACGUCCCAAAAUUGGUUUCCGUUCUAUAACUUUAGUUUGCCUCAACCAAAUGUUAUGAAACUUAUACACAAUGCUUAUUACCACAAAACACAGAUCAAGUUUGAAUUUUGGUGGCGUCACUUUUACUGUUCUAGAGUUAUGCCCCUUUACAAAUGGAAAAUUGCUGAAUUUAUCGUUUCCGUUCUCAAACUUUAGUUUGCCUCAACCAAAUGUUAUGAAACUUAUACACAAUGCUUAUUACCACAAAACACAGAUCAAGUUUGAAUUUUGGUGGCGUCACUUUUACCGUUCUAGAGUUAUGCCCCUUUACAAAUGAAAAAAUUGCUAAAUUUUUAUUUUCUUCUAAAUAUCAAGUAAUUUUUAAAAUUGGAGCUAUCUUCCUUUGUCCAUGAUUAUAGUUGAAUCAACUACAAUCAAUGCUUUAUACAAUGCAAUGUUUAAUUUUGACUUCCACUGAUAAAACACAGAUCAAGUUGAAUUAGGGAAGUGUCACUUUAAUCAUUAUUGAGUUAUGCCCCUUUAUAUAUCGAAAGAUUGCAAAAUUUUUAGUUUCCAUUCUGUAACUUAAGUUUGCCCCAACCAAACAUUAUGAAACCUAUACACAAUAAUCAUUACCACAAAACAAAGAUCAAGUACACAUUUUUUGUUUCCGUUUUCUAACUUUAGUUUGCCUCAACCAAAUGUUAUGAAACUUACACACAAUGCUUGUUACCACAAAACUCAGAUCAAGUUCAAAUUUGGGUAGUGUCACUUUUACCGUUCUUCAGUUAUGUCCCUUUAUAACUAUAUGAUAUGCAAGCGAGGGCAUCAUCUGUGUCCACAUGUGGACACUAUCCACAUUUAUUUGUUUUCUGUAGUAAUUCAUGUGAAAUGGUACAAAACAAUGUAUUGGAUUCAGAUGGCUGUGUAAUUUCUUACAAGUCAGCUGCUCAAAUUGGUUUAAAUUCUUAAUAUUGUUCCAAAUUUGCUUCAAUUUUUCUCUAGAUUUCUUAUGAAAUUCAAUAUUCUAGUCCUUGAGUGGUGGACUUCAAACUUCACCUAAUUAUAUUGAGUGAUUGGUGUCAAGGUCAUAUAUGUUUUUACAAUUUUCACUUUGUUUUUCUAGAGUUAUGAAACUUUUUAUUUGUAAAAAGAUAAGGAAUUUUUCACAUCAUGCACUAACUUUUGUAUGUGUUGAACAAUUUACUUAAAAAAAUAAGGAUGUUUUCAUUUUGUGGGUCUCUAUAAGUCUUGACAAUUUUAUUAGAGUUGUUUCCCCUUGUUUAUUUUGCUGUUGCCUGUAUAGAGCUUUAAUCUAUAUUUUUAAUGUAUCAAUGUUUAUGGCAUCUAAUUUUAUUGUUUUGGUCACCAAUUUAUAUUAAAAGGUAUUAUGCAAGACGACAAACAAAAAAAAAAGAAUACAACAGGCUAUUAUUUGAACUUGGAAUUAUUUUCAAUUAUGGAAGUUGCAUAAUUUCUUGUGCUUGAAAUUUUUAAUAAAUUCCAUGUUUGUUUGGUAUUAUAAUGUUUUGAGUGUACAUAACACUUCUCAUACAAUGUAUUUUGUAUAGAUAGUGUUGUGCGCGGCACAUUACAUUCUAUUGAAAAUGUACUAUCUUCUUUGUAAUAGAAAGUGUUGUGCGCAGCACAGAACAUUAAAGUCCAAAUAAACAUGGAAUUUAUUAAAAAUUUCAAACACAAGAAAUUAUGCAAAUUCCAUAAUUUAAAAUAAUUCCAACUUUAAAUAAUAGCCUGUUAUACACUGUUUCAAGUAUUAUAUACCUGAAGAGCAGAACAUUAUUCCCUCCAUAUAUGUUUCUUUUCAAGGUACAAUCUAUUGGAUAAUCUGUAUUUUGUUGUAGACUUUGAGGGCAAUUGACAAGUUGACAUAGUGUGUAGACAUAUGUUUAUUUAUUUGUUAAAGGUUGAUUGAAUUGUUUAGUUAUUUGUUAAAGACUAUGUUAGUCUGUAGACUAGAUGGUUUCUUUUUGUGUUAUGUUGUUUUGGGUUGCUUUCUUAUGAUGUUUAACAACAUAUCCCCAAAAGUAGUGUCAUAAUUUACCUAUUUUGAAAAAAUGGGAGGAGAAAAUUAGUUUUAAAAGAUUGAUUCUUAUAUUUCAACAUACAUGUAUAGUAAUCAUUUAUUCGAAUGUAAAGUCAGUUGCCUAGCACAUCAGUAUUUAGUUUCACAAUGCAUGCAUAGAUCAACACAUAUGUUAUUAUUAUUGAUAAUGUAUUAUUACAUAAAGUAAAUAUGAUAAUGUUAUUGUUUAUCAUGUUAUGGUUAAAUAUUCUACAUUUUUUGGAAAAUGUUCAAUAUAUAGUGCAUUUUCUGUACCGUGGGACAAUUAUGCAAAUAAAAGAUGUUUAUUAUAUGCA